UGGAUCGAUGAUGACCACUGGUGGCGUAUGAGUCAUUCACGAUGAAUAUGUGUCUGGAACUCUGAGGUCCAA
ensembl:snoRNA